UGAGCUGAGGUUACUCGACCAC
rnacentral:siRNA from 1 species